rnacentral:rRNA from 1 species
CCCUUAGAUGUCCUGGGCUGCACGCGCGCUACACUGAUGUAUUCAACAAGUGUUACCUUGACCGAGAGGCCUAGGAAAUCUUUUAAAAGUGCAUCGUGAUAGGAAUAGAUUAUUGCAAUUUUUAAUCUUGAACGAGGAAUUCCUAGUAAACGCAGAUCAUCAAUCUGCAUUGAUUACGUCCCUGCCCUUUGUACACACCGCCCGUCGCUCCUACCGAUUGGGUGUGCUGGUGAAAUGUUCGGAUCGGCCGUUUGUCGCGGUUUCCGCGUCAUGUGGCUGAGAAGUUCAUUAAACCCUCCCACCUAGAGGAAGGAGAAGUCGUAACA